AGGACGAACGCUGGCGGCGUGCUUAACACAUGCAAGUCGAGCGGAAAGGCCCUUCGGGGUACUCGAGCGGCGAACGGGUGAGUAACACGUGAGUAAUCUGCCCCUAGCUCUGGGAUAGCUCCGGGAAACCGGGAUUAAUACCAGAUACGACCACUUUAGACAUCUGUUGUGGUGGAAAGAAUUUUGGCUAGGGAUGAGCUCGCGGCCUAUCAGCUUGUUGGUGAGGUAACGGCUCACCAAGGCGACGACGGGUAGCCGGCCUGAGAGGGCGACCGGCCACACUGGGACUGAGACACGGCCCAGACUCCUACGGGAGGCAGCAGUGGGGAAUAUUGCGCAAUGGGCGAAAGCCUGACGCAGCGACGCCGCGUGGGGGAUGAAGGCCUUCGGGUUGUAAACCCCUUUCAGCAGGGACGAAGCGAAAGUGACGGUACCUGCAGAAGAAGCGCCGGCUAACUACGUACCAGCAGCCGC
rnacentral:rRNA from 1 species